rnacentral:ncRNA from 1 species
AGCAGAGUAAUCUGUAAUUACCCUCCGAUUGCUUAACCAGACCGCCCUAUUAUAUUUAGUGGCGGUUU